rnacentral:tRNA from 1 species
GGGGUUGUAGCUCAGUGGUGAAGCACUUCCCUCACAAGUAUGAGACACUGGGUUCGAUCCUCAGCACCACA